CACGUAGGGGGCAAGCGUUGUCCGGAUUUAUUGGGCGUAAAGAGCUCGUAGGUGGCCUGUCGCGUCGGCUGUGAAAACUCACAACUCAAUUGUGGGCGUGCGGGCGAUACGGGCAGACUGGAGUACUGCAGGGGAGACUGGAAUUCCUGGUGUAGCGGUGGAAUGCGCAGAUAUCAGGAGGAACACCGGUGGCGAAGGCGGGUCUCUGGGCAGUAACUGACGCUGAGGAGCGAAAGCGUGGGGAGCGAACAGG
rnacentral:rRNA from 1 species